rnacentral:rRNA from 1 species
UACGGGGGGUGCGAGCGUUGUCCGGAAUCACUGGGCGUAAAGGGCGCGUAGGUGGCCUGAUAAGGGUGUGGUGAAAGUCCGGGGCUCAACCCCGGAUCUGCCGUGCCGACUGUUAGGCUAGAGUACUGUAGGGGCAGGCGGAAUUCCGGGUGUAGCGGUGGAAUGCGUAGAGAUCCGGAAGAACACCGGUGGCGAAGGCGGUCUGCUGGGCAGUUGCUGACACUGAGGCGCGACAGCGUGGGGAGCAAACAGG